rnacentral:lncRNA from 1 species
CGUCUGGAGUAGAACCACGCAUUGCGCAUGCAGAAACAGCAGGAGGGGGCUACAAGCAUCGCCCUCUCAAUUUUGUCCCUCACCUGCCCUUUGUCCAGUACACUCUGAACCGCCCUGGCACAGAGAGGAAGAGAGCCCAGUGAUGCCGUCCUUAAGGCUAGACUCCAAGGGCACAGAGUCAUGGAGAGACAGAACAAGGAAGCUUGAAGCAGCAAAUGAAAAUUGGUCAGCACAAUGAGAAACUGACGAUGCUGAAAUUACCUGUGCAAAUAUUAAUAUCUUACUAAUAAUGCCAUGAGUUCCUCCACUUUGCAGAUGAGCAAACACAA